rnacentral:rRNA from 1 species
AUUGAACGCUGGCGGCAUGCCUUACACAUGCAAGUCGAACGGUAACAGGUCUUCGGAUGCUGACGAGUGGCGAACGGGUGAGUAAUACAUCGGAACGUGCCUAGUAGUGGGGGGUAACUACUCGAAAGAGUGGCUAAUACCGCAUGAGAUCUACGGAUGAAAGCAGGGGAUCGCAAGACCUUGUGCUACUCGAGCGGCCGAUGGCAGAUUAGGUAGUUGGUGGGAUAAAAGCUUACCAAGCCGACGAUCUGUAGCUGGUCUGAGAGGACGAUCAGCCACACUGGGACUGAGACACGGCCCAGACUCCUACGGGAGGCAGCAGUGGGGAAUUUUGGACAAUGGGCGAAAGCCUGAUCCAGCAAUGCCGCGUGCAGGAUGGAGGCCUUCGGGUUGUAAACUGCUUUUGUACGGAACGAAAAGCCCCGGGUUAAUACCCUGGGGUCAUGACGGUACCGUAAGAAUAAGCACCGGCUAACUACGUGCCAGCCGCCGCGGUAA